rnacentral:rRNA from 1 species
GCCUAAUACAUGCAAGUCGAGCGAACGGACGAGAAGCUUGCUUCUCUGAUGUUAGCGGCGGACGGGUGAGUAACACGUGGAUAACCUACCUAUAAGACUGGGAUAACUUCGGGAAACCGGAGCUAAUACCGGAUAAUAUUUUGAACCGCAUGGUUCAAAAGUGAAAGACGGUCUUGCUGUCACUUAUAGAUGGAUCUGCGCUGCAUUAGCUAGUUGGUAAGGUAACGGCUUACCAAGGCAACGAUGCAUAGCCGACCUGAGAGGGUGAUCGGCCACACUGGAACUGAGACACGGUCCAGACUCCUACGGGAGGCAGCAGUAGGGAAUCUUCCGCAAUGGGCGAAAGCCUGACGGAGCAACGCCGCGUGAGUGAUGAAGGUCUUCGGAUCGUAAAACUCUGUUAUUAGGGAAGAACAUAUGUGUAAGUAACUGUGCACAUCUUGACGGUACCUAAUCAGAAAGCCACGGCUAACUACGUGCCAGCAGCCGCGGUAAUACGUAGGUGGCAAGCGUUAUCCGGAAUUAUUGGGCGUAAAGCGCGCGUAGGCGGUUUUUUAAGUCUGAUGUGAAAGCCCACGGCUCAACCGUGGAGGGUCAUUGGAAACUGGAAAACUUGAGUGCAGAAGAGGAAAGUGGAAUUCCACGUGUAGCGGUGAAAUGCGCAGAGAUAUGGAGGAACACCAGUGGCGAAGGCGACUUUCUGGUCUGUAACUG